CCCUUCGUAGCUCAAAGUGGUAGAGCGAUCGGCUGUAGACCGAUAGGCUCUGGGUUCAAGUCCCAGCGGAGGGA
rnacentral:tRNA from 1 species